rnacentral:rRNA from 1 species
ACGGGAGGCAGCAGUGGGGAAUCUUCCGCAAUGGGCGAAAGCCUGACGGAGCAACGCCGCGUGAGUGAAGAAGGCCUUCGGGUCGUAAAGCUCUGUCUUAAGGGACGAACGGCGCAGGGAGUAACUGCCUUGCGAUUGACGGUACCUUAGGAGGAAGCUCCGGCUAACUACGUGCCAGCAGCCGCGGUAAUACGUAGGGAGCGAGCGUUGUCCGGAAUUACUGGGCGUAAAGGGCGCGUAGGCGGGGUUUCAAGCAGGGUGUGAAAACUAUGGGCUCAACCCGUAGCCUGCAUUCUGAACUGGGACUCUUGAGGGCAGGAGAGGAAAGUGGAAUUCCUAGUGUAGCGGUGAAAUGCGUAGAUAUUAGGAGGAACACCAGUGGCGAAGGCGACUUUCUGGACUGUACCUGACGCUGAUGCGCGAAAGCGUGGGGAGCGAACAGGAUUAGAUACCCUGGUA